rnacentral:lncRNA from 1 species
UGGCCUGAUUCAGACUGGAGAUGCAGAUCCUGACCUUCCAAAUGUCUCUCUCAUAUCUUGAGUUUUCUCUGGAGGGGGCUCUUUCUACUUCAGGGGAUCUGUUCUGUUCUGUGCAAUUAAAAUAGUGUGAAGCAAGGACCUGAGUUCUUCCAUGCUGCUGGUGAGCUCUCCACUGUGUUUGAGUGGUUUCACCCUGUGCUGGCACAGCUGCUCCCGAGCUGCCUGAAAAGGUGCAGCUCCAGUGAGCAGGCUAAGCAAUGCGGACUCAGGUACUCAUCGGCAUUAAUUGGGACCAGCAGAGUGAAGAAUUCCCACAUCCAGACUGUGUCAUCAUUAAGAUUCAGAGCUAACAGUCAGAGGAAAGCCAAAGGACAGGUAUAGAAGGUGUGUCAGUUGUUGUGUGUGCAGAAACAAACUUCACAUUGCUAUAAUCCUCUGUG